GUGGAUGUAGCUCAGUUGGUUAGAGCGCUGGAUUGUGGUUCCAGAGGUCGCCGGUUCGAUUCCGGUCUUUCACCCCA
rnacentral:tRNA from 1 species